rnacentral:rRNA from 1 species
UUGCUCCGCUGACGAGUGGCGAACGGGUGAGUAAUGCAUCGGAACGUGCCUAUUUGUGGGGGAUAACGUAGCGAAAGUUACGCUAAUACCGCAUACGCCCUGAGGGGGAAAGCGGGGGAUUCGUAAGAACCUCGCGCAAUUAGAGCGGCCGAUGUCGGAUUAGCUAGUUGGUGGGGUAAAGGCUCACCAAGGCGACGAUCCGUAGCGGGUCUGAGAGGAUGAUCCGCCACACUGGGACUGAGACACGGCCCAGACUCCUACGGGAGGCAGCAGUGGGGAAUUUUGGACAAUGGGCGAAAGCCUGAUCCAGCCAUGCCGCGUGAGUGAAGAAGGCCUUCGGGUUGUAAAGCUCUUUCAGCCGGAAAGAAAUCGCGCAGGCUAAUACUCUGCGUGGAUGACGGUACCGGAAGAAGAAGCACCGGCUAACUACGUGCCAGCAGCCGCGGUAAUACGUAGGGUGCGAGCGUUAAUCGGAAUUACUGGGCGUAAAGCGUGCGCAGGCGGUUAUAUAAGACAGAUGUGAAAUCCCCGGGCUCAACCUGGGAACUGCGUUUGUGACUGUAUGACUAGAGUACGGCAGAGGGAGGUGGAAUUCCGCGUGUAGCAGUG